GGGCUCAUAGCUCAGUCUGGUAGAGCGUAUGGCUCUUAACCAUAAGGUCGGGGGUUCGAAUCCCUCUGAGCCCG
rnacentral:tRNA from 1 species